rnacentral:rRNA from 1 species
UGAGGAAUAUUGGUCAAUGGGGGAAACCCUGAACCAGCGACGCCGCGUGUGGGAUGAAGGGGCUUUGCCUUGUAAACCACUGUCGGAUGGGAAGAAAAGUCCCCUCGGGGGACCGGGACUGUACCAUCAAAGGAAGGAUCGGCUAACUACGUGCCAGCAGCCGCGGUAAUACGUAGGAUCCAAGCGUUGUCCGGAAUUACUGGGUGUAAAGGGUGCGCAGGCGGGCUUGUGCGUCAGAGGUUAAAUCCCACCGCUUAACGGUGGACAUGCCUUUGAUACGGCAAGUCUUGAAUGCGAGCGAGGUAGGUAGAAUUCCUGGUGUAGCGGUGAAAUGCGUAGAUAUCAGGAGGAAUACCAGUGGCGAAGGCGGCCUACUGGCUCGUUAUUGACGCUCAGGCAC